GGCGAACCGUGCGAACGUUAUUCGGAAUCAUUGGGCUUAAAGCGCGUGUAGGCGGAUUCGUGCGUCUGUCGCUGAAAUCCCACGGCUCACCCGUGGAACUGCUGGGCAUACUGGCGAUCUUGGGCCAACUAGGGGCAGUCGGAACAAGCGGUGGAGCGGUGAAAUGCGUAGAUAUCGCUUGGAACGCCGAAGGUGAAAACAGACUGCUGGGGUUGCGCCGACGCUGAGACACGAAAGCCAGGGGAGCAAACGGG
rnacentral:rRNA from 1 species